rnacentral:rRNA from 1 species
CCAAGGAGUCUAACAUGUGCGCGAGUCGUAGGUUGUCGAAGACCGAAGGCGGAAUGAAAGUGAAGGCAUCGCUUGUCGGUGCUGAGGGGAGAUCCCGCCUCCGUCUCGAUGGAGCGGGCGCAUCCCCGGGGCGUUCGCAAUCCCGUUGCGGAUGCGACGCACCAAGAGCGUGCAUGCUAGGACCCGAAAGAUGGUGACCUAUGCCUGGCCAGGUCGAAGUCAGGGGAAACCCUGAUGGAGGACCGAAGCGAUUCUGACGUGCAAAUCGAUCGUCGGAGCUUGGUAUAGGGGCGAAAGACUAAUCGAACCAUCUAGUAGCUGGUUCCCCCCGAAGUUUCCCUCAGGAUAGCUGGGACUCGAACCAAGGAGACGGAGUUUCAUCCGGUAAAGCGAAUGAUUAGAGGCCUUGGGGUCGAAACGACCUCAACCUAUUCUCAAACUUUCAAUGGGUGAGAAGCUCAGGCUUCCUUGAUAUGCGGCAAUGACUUGAGAAUCCGAGUGCCAAGUGGGCCACUUUUGGUAAGCACAACUGGCGCUGUGGGAUGAACCAAACGUUGGGUUAAGGCGCCUAAACAACGCAUAUUUCGGAUCCCACAAAAAGGAGUUGGUUGCUAAAUACAACAGGACGGUGGCCAUGGAGGUCGGAACCCGCUUAGAGUGUGUAACAACUCACCUGCCGAAGCAACUAGCCCUUAAAAUGGGAGGCGCUAUAGCUUUGUGCUUAUACCGGACCGCCGGACAUAUAGCUUUUCAACCCUUGAGGUUGCGCUACACGCCGGGACAGGAGGUCGCACCGGUGAGCGUAGAAAGGUUUGGGCGUGAGCCUGCCUGGAGACGCCGUUGGCGCAAAUCUUGGUGGUAGUACCAAAUCUCAGAGG